rnacentral:rRNA from 1 species
AGUGAACGCUGGCGGUAGGCCUAACACAUGCAAGUCGAACGGCAGCACAGUAAGAGCUUGCUCUUACGGGUGGCGAGUGGCGGACGGGUGAGGAAUACAUCGGAAUCUACUUUUUCGUGGGGGAUAACGUAGGGAAACUUACGCUAAUACCGCAUACGACCUACGGGUGAAAGCAGGGGAUCUUCGGACCUUGCGCGGUUGAAUGAGCCGAUGUCGGAUUAGCUAGUUGGCGGGGUAAAGGCCCACCAAGGCGACGAUCCGUAGCUGGUCUGAGAGGAUGAUCAGCCACACUGGAACUGAGACACGGUCCAGACUCCUACGGGAGGCAGCAGUGGGGAAUAUUGGACAAUGGGCGCAAGCCUGAUCCAGCCAUACCGCGUGGGUGAAGAAGGCCUUCGGGUUGUAAAGCCCUUUUGUUGGGAAAGAAAAGCAGCAGGUUAAUACCCCGCUGUUCUGACGGUACCCGAAGAAUAAGCACCGGCUAACUUCGUG